UUCAGGAAAUGUCCUUAAAAUGCUGCUCUUGCACCCCUUCUAAAUUAAGAGCGGGCUGUGGAAGCCGUGUUUUCUAUUCUACUGCAAUCUUUAUGCUCCUUUUCCUUCCCUUUUUAAAAAAUGAGAAUCAGUUCUCCAGACAGAGCCUGAACAUGUAUUCACUAAAUGACAAGCACUUCAAAGUAUUUCUGGGUAGUCUUGGGAAGCUUACAUUUUAAGUUUUCCUCUUAUUAUUGGAUAAAAAGCACUUGUCAAUGAUUUCCAUGUUGUGAGCAUUUUUCCCCUUUUCCCCCAGUGUUUAAACUGUCUCCCAAUAGAUCUGUGUAUGGCAGAGAAAGGAUCCCUAUGACAUUUCAUACAACUAGAAGUGAAGAUUUUAAUUCAGCUUUCACAAGAUAUGAUUUCUGCAUUCAGAUACUUCCACAUACUAGCAUACAGAUUUUCCAGAGUGAUCUCCAAGUUGUAAUGGACAACCUUUUUCCUGCCAGCAGAGCCCAGAGAGGAAUAAACCAAGACCACCAGCUAAGUCAUUGCGUAAUGUGCUAUGGAUAUGAGCAUUGAAUGCCCUCAGUGGCAAUGACUUGGGACCAUAUCAACCUUUUGCGGGAAUUACCGGCAAAGGAAACUGGGAACUCCACGGCAUCUGUGUCAUACUUCCCUGCAGAUGGUGCCUCCAAAUCUCUUCUGAAGUGGUGCGUGAGAGCAGACACAGAGUGCCUAUCACUCAGCCCUCUAAUGGCAACACUCAGACAACUCCGGGACAGACAGAACACAAAAACAGAAAUAAGGACUUGCAAAUGUGGCUGAAGAUGCCCAGAGAGUCGUGUAUCUAACAGAGAGAGAGAGACAGAUGAUGUAAGCAAAUGACAAAAGUUUGGCCUGUUCCUUUGAAAUGGUUUGACUUGUACUGUGUGGCUCAAUAGUGAUUCUUUAAAAAGAAUACCUGAAAAGGCACUGAUGCUCAGUAAGGUGUUUUAAACUAAUCACAGAUAAAGGCUGCAUGCAGAAGAAGCAGGAAGCACCCAACCCUGUAAAGGCAUGUUAUGUACUCAUCCAAAUUCAUGUUUGAAUACUCAUAUCAUAAAGAGGAUGCAUUCUAAGAGACUACAUUUAAUCUUUUACUUACCAAGAAUAUUUUGUGUGAACUGAUUUUGCUUUUAUUCAAAUAGGAGCGAAUUUCUGGAAAGAUUAAAAAAAUAAUUAAAAUGCUAAACACUUAUUUUACUUAUAGCACCAAUAUAGCAGAUUGUCAGAAGCUUCUUCUACAGAAAGAUGGACUUCUGUUUCAUGGCUGCCAAACAAGAGAAAAAGCAUUUUGUCAAUCAUAUCAAAUGUCUCAGUUUUCAGCACUGAAAUGAUGCCUACCACUGUUUCCCGCUGGUAAUUUUAAAUCAAAAGAUGUGCCUUUCAACCAUUUCUGUGUGCAGUCGAAGUCUGUAUGGCUAGUGUUUAUUUUGACCUUUGUGCUAGAGAGGAGGUGACCAAAAUCUUUAAAAAUGGAUGUUGCAACAUGAGACAAUACAACAGUUUAAGAUGAACGCGUUUUAAUAUCUUUAUUGUGAUCUUUUUCCCCUCAGAGUAAAGCAGCAGCAUAAUAACCAGCUGCAUGAUAAUACUGGCAAGCAAGGCCAUGAAUUUCAACGGCAAACCCUAAACACUGAAUGUGCUGUGCUUUUUAAAGAAAUCCCCUUUUGUACCAGAUAUGUAAUACCCUUUUGUGCUAGAGUGGUUUGCAUAAUAAUAGUUUUUUUUAGUUAUUCGUUGUGGUUUGAUGGAGCUGCAAAGUGAGCAGGGCAGUAACAGCAUAAAAGACAGUUCUCCAUUCUUCUCUAAUUUUUGGAGAUUUUCUUUUAAAAUGUAAAUACUUGUAACUAUUUUCAGAAAAGAUAUCCAAUUAUUAACAUUUCAGAUCUAAUUAUUACUUUUCUUAAUAUCCACCUUCCUAUUUGAGCUCUUCACUUUCAGAAGCAGCAGCAAUAUUACAUCUUUGGUAUUUAUGGGGAACCUCAAGCAUCUUAAUUUAAUUGGGCACACAAUCAUCUGGUGUAAAUCAGUGUAACUCUGUUCAGAGACAAUGAUAGACCUGAAUGAUAGACCCUAACUGCAGAAUGACUUGAUUUCAAAAUCCAACUAAAAUUCAUACUAUAAACCGUCUGGCCCAUAUAGGAGUUGUACAUACUUUACACUGCACCACCGCUGAGAUAAAGAGCGCUAGCUGACUGAAUUCAUCUGAAAAAAUUAACAUCUAGGAUAUACCUGAGUACAAGCAUAAGAUAAAACUUGAAGAAUUUAUUGAUAAGUUUUCCCACGUGAAAUUUGUUAAGAUUCCUCUUGGGCUUUUCAACGUGUUCUGAUCCGGGUAGUAAGGAAGGAAUAUUUCCCAAAGGAGAUAUAAUUACGUUGAAAUGGAGCUCAGUCUUAUUCACAGUGAAAGCUACAGAGAAGGACUAAAACCAGGGGAAGUUCCCCAGCUAAUGUUCAAUAAACUAGGCAUUAUUCUAACAGAUACUAUCGCGGGAUUUUUCCUUUGAAAUCAGUGGAAUUAUGCCAAGUUACUCUAGAUGUGAGUUUGGCCAUAAAUUAUGAACGGUUUUCAACCCCUGGCCUGCAACCACUGCAAGGGACCAUUUCCAAGAAAUCCCUCAAAAGCAACAAAGGAAAGCAAGGCUAUUACGAAUUAGCUUAAAUUCAGAGUGCAGAGAGUUUGUAAUCUCACUGGAAAAUAUUUAGAGGUUUGUGAAUCGAUAAAGGUCAAAAGCAGUUGGGCUAGAUUAUUUCAGAUGAGCUGACAAGAUGGAUUAACAUACAACAAUACAUUAUCACAUGUUAGCAGUGCAAAGAAUACCUAGGAAAAAAAGAAUGCUGCGGAGCCCAACAGUCACUGCUUUCACAGCUCCAUGUGUCAGAGACCAUUACAUAUAGCUACCCUGCAAAACCGAAAUGAAUACAUCCUCAUAUCUCUUAUCAAUGCAACAACUGCAUAUUCCUGUUUACUAAAAUAUCUAAGAUCUGUCUUUGCUAAAUAGAGUAACAAGAAAUUUCACAGCUCCAAAGGGUGAACAUACCAUGGAUUAGUACCAGAGACAGAAAUACUUCCUCUAAAACCAUGAAGGAAGUUCCGGAAUCUAGGUAAGAGAGUAUUGUCAUUAUUAUACAGCCUGAAGUCUUGUAAUACAGAAUCUCACAACACAGGGUUCUGUCGUCUUAGAAAUAUGAGUUGCCUCAUGUCAGCUGGAUACCAGAUACUGUUAAUGCACUGCAGGUUAAGUGACAUGUUACACUCAGUGGUACAGAGACAUUUCAGCUUAGGUCAUUCUCCUUGACUAUUCAAAAUGGAAAUGAAAAAGUCUUUCAGAAGGAAAAUAUUCAGUGGAGUUCUCUGAAAUCUUUUACUAGGAAAAUAUAGUCUGUACUUCGCUUCCUAUGAUGUUACAAGGUGCCCUGAGCUUUGUUAGAAUAAGCACUUCCGCCCCACAGCCUAUGAGAUACAGCCCCUUCCUC